ensembl:lncRNA
AUGUUUGCAAAUGAAAAUGCUGCGAAUUCACUUCCUCGUCCUCAUUGUAAAGGAAACGUCUGUAUGAGGAAAUCUGAAUCCAUUUCGUUUAAGAAUCCACCUUCCAGCGCAGGGGAUGCAGGUCCGAUCUCCAGUCGAGGAACUAAGAUCCCACACGGUACAUGGCAACUGAGCUCGCUUGUUACAGCGAAAGAGAAGCCCGCACACCGAAGGGUGGAGGAUGUCCAUCAAUCUAAUCCUCCCGGACGGACCCACAAAUUGUGGGUGGCCCUGUUUCCUGUGGCAACACCCAGCAAAGGGCCUACCGCUGUGAGUGGGACUCUGGGACCCUCUAAUGCAGUAAUCCUUGGUCCUUCUGGAUUUGGGGCCCAUUUCAGUCUUACUAAAUCCAAGUUGCCCUUUCUCCAGAAAAUGUCACAUAUGCAUGUGCACAGAAAAAUUUGCCAGCCUUUCACAGUGGCCCAUGGACUCUCCAAGUCCAUCUGUGAAUGACUGCCUCUAACGGCGGGCUCUAAGGAGAGUGCCCACCCGUCUCCCAAUGACUAAGUCCAGCCCUGAGUGGAGAGAUUCGGUCCCUCUCCUCCUCUCACUGUGAAACGCACAGAGAUGUAAUGAUAUUGAGGCCAUUAGAAGGCAGGGGUCUAGGUCAGGGGACUCUGGGAGGCUGGCUUCAGCUGAAGGAGGUGGACUUCGCCACGCCCUGGCCUCCGAGCCCCGUAGCUGGGCACUGCCCCCGCCUGGCCCUCUCGGCUGUGGCUCCGCUGCCUGGGUCAGCCCACNNNNNNNNNNNNNNNNNNGUCUGUGGGCUGUUGCUCCUGCGCACCCCUCACCAGCUCCUGUGAGCCGUCAGUACAAGGGACUCCACCUCCUCUCUCCUCUGCAGUCAGUACCUGGUGAUGUCCACCCAGCUUCGCCCCCCGCCCCCAUCUGGAGAGGCGCACACGUCACUCACUCCGUGUUCGGGGUGUAGAGUACAGUGUGGGUAGGUGAACAGAGCAUGGGGAUUCAGAAUUAGAAGACCGGGUUCAAAUUCCCAUUCUACCUUUAUUGGCUGAGUGACCUUGGGUAAGCUUAAAUNNNNNNNNNNNNNNNNNNNNNNNNNNNNNNNNNNNNNNNNNNNNNNNNNNNNNNNNNNNNNNNNNNNNNNNNNNNNNNNNNNNNNNNNNNNNNNNNNNNCAUUCUACCUUUAUUGGCUGAGUGACCUUGGGUAAGCUUAAAUUUCCAAGUCUCAGUUUCCUUACCUGUCUACUGGGAAUAAUAAUCACCUCUGUACAGCACAACUCAUUGUGACUAAGAGCACGAGAGAAAGCACGUAUCAAUGAGCUUAGUAACAGGCCACCACACGCUGCACCUUGUUCUGGUCACACAGGUGAGCCUGGGCUCUUUCUCCCCUCAGAGGCUGACAGCCUGACGCUUUCUGAGUCCUGAGGGUGGCAAUGAAGGAACGAGGGAUCGCUCCUUAGUGUUUCCUCAGCCAACUGGUGUUUUCUUGUUGCCAAGGGAGCUGCCAUUUCCAACACUGGCUCUCUGCUCUAAGACGUUCGCAAGCAAGACAAGCGGGUCUCUUUUUGUGCACAGUAGUGGUGGGGCUAUGGCAGAGGGAACUCUGGGUUCCCCGGCUGGGGACUGCAGGAAAGGAAACCGGAGGGGCACAGAGGCUUGGAGUGUGUGGUGGAGACGGGCGGUGGGGACACUGGUUGAUGGCUGUGGCGGGCAAUGCAAGGUCGCCAGGAGCAGAGCCAGCUUUUGGAUGAAGGUGAAAGGAGAAUGGCUGAAGAGGACACUGCGGUACGAGAAUGACGUGGGCCACUGGGUCAGAAGAGGGCCACGGGGACCAUGUUUUCUAACGGAUGCUAUAAAACAGGCACAGAGGCCAGAGGAAGCAGUAAGCGGACUCUUGUCACCUAGGUAUCUGCUUGGUGCGUUGCUUGGCUCCAAGGGGAGCCUGUGAUGCAUUCCUGACUUGGCCAGCCGAUGUCUGAGCUCAGACGAAAAGGAAGCUCGUGGGCAAAGGCUGCUCUGGAUGUGACUCUGAUCAACAGAGGACUGACUGGUGUGAGAGACAACAGAACGUCCGGGGAAAGCCACGGUGGAAUUUUAGAGUUCCCAGUAUCUAAGGACACAGAGGGAGAGGGGCAAGAUCAGACACCCGGGCUUCUAAAAGGCACGCUCCAAACAUUUUCCAGAAAAGAGUUAGAAGCUGUGGCUGAUUCUCAAGAGAAUAUAGUUCAAGAGGUUUUAAAACUGAAGGCCUGACAAUGAAGCCACAAAUUAUCCUGAGUUUAAAAAAAAAGAGGGCAGCAUCUAAAAAUAGAUGUGGCUGCACAGAGAGUUCUCUAAAAUCUGCACACAGAUUUGAGAAGUUUACGUGUUCUGGAAAUCUAUUGACAUACUUUAAAAGUACAUAUAUUUGAAUAUAGUACAGCAGUAGUUAAGACAGAGUUUUUUUGGAAUUAGCAUUUGAAUUCUGACUUUGCCACCUACUAGCUGUGUGACCUUGGAUAAGUCCUUUAGUUUUUCUGAGCUCUGGUUUCUAAAUUUGUAAAAUGGGGAUAGUUGCACCCACUUUAUUUAUUUAACUGUUCACCUGUUUAUCUCUGGCUGCUGGGUCUUAGCUGCUGGACGAGGGCCUUCUCUGGCUGCGGCGCGCAGGCUUCUCACUGCAGCGGCGUCUCUCGUUGAGGGGCACGGGCUCUGUGGCGUGUAGGCUCUCCUGGUGUGGCUCACAGGCUCUGAAGCCUGGGCCUCAGUAGCUGUGGUGCAGGGCUAGUUGCCCCAAAGCGUGUGGAAUGUCCCUGGACCAGGGAUUGAAACCAUGUCCCCUGCAUUGGCAGACAGACUCCUAACCGCUGGAUCACCAGGGAAGCCCUGUGCGCACUUC